rnacentral:rRNA from 1 species
AUACUUGGCCGAAUGCACCGCAUCCCGUCCGAUUUGCGAAGUUAAGCGGCCACAGGCCCCGUUAGUACGGCGAUCAGUGAUGGCGCUGGAACCCUGGGU